rnacentral:rRNA from 1 species
AGUGAGCGCUGGCGGUAGGCCUAACACAUGCAAGUCGAACGGCAGCACAGUAAGAGCUUGCUCUUACGGGUGGCGAGUGGCGGACGGGUGAGGAAUACAUCGGAAUCUACUUUUUCGUGGGGGAUAACGUAGGGAAACUUACGCUAAUACCGCAUACGACCUACGGGUGAAAGCAGGGGAUCUUCGGACCUUGCGCGAUUGAAUGAGCCGAUGUCGGAUUAGCUAGUUGGCGGGGUAAAGGCCCACCAAGGCGACGAUACGUAGCUGGUCUGAGAGGAUGAUCAGCCACACUGGAACGGAGACACGGUCCAGACUCCUACGGGAGGCAGCAGUGGGGAAUAUUGGACAAUGGGCGCAAGCCUGAUCCAGCCAUACCGCGUGGGUGAAGAAGGCCUUCGGGUUGUAAAGCCCUUUUGUUGGGAAAGAAAAGCAGCAGGUUAAUACCCCGCUGUUCUGACGGUACCCAAAGAAUAAGCACCGGCUAACUUCGUG